rnacentral:rRNA from 1 species
UACGUAGGGUGCAAGCGUUAAUCGGAAUUACUGGGCGUAAAGCGCGCGCAGGCGGCUAUCCAAGUCAGUGGUGAAAGCCCGGAGCUCAACUCCGGAACUGCCAUUGAAACUGUUUAGCUGGAGUAUGAGAGAGGUGAGUGGAAUUCCCAGUGUAGAGGUGAAAUUCGUAGAUAUUGGGAAGAACACCGGUGGCGAAGGCGGCGUUCUGGACUGCAACUGACACUGAUGAACGAAAGCCAGGGGAGCAAACGGG